UAUAUGUAUGUGUUUAUUCACGACACCUAUAAAUUUUGAUCUAACUUUUUUGGUAGGCUUUUGUACUCUAACUUUUAAAAAAUUAAAAUUAUUUUUCCUAUUUCUCUGUUUUCUAUUCCACUGGUUGGUUCACUUUUAGCGACGACGGUCCAAGUUAACUUUCAAAAAAAAUUAGAGUAGUUAUGGAGUGUCAGCUGUCUUGCGGUCCCUAAGUUUUAAAGGUUGUUGCACAAUAUUCAGUAUUUUAAUAAAAAUCUUUAAAAAUUAUGUUGAAAUUUCGAAUAUAAUCAUCGAAUUAAAGCACCGUAUUUAAUAUGUAUACAUUCAAUUAAAGGACAGCAUUAGCGGAAGUAAAAUCACGCGUGCAAGGGCUGCUGAUUUCAGAUCAAGUAAAUGAUCGGUCAGCUAACAAAUUUGACCUAAAGGAAAACAAGUAUUGGCGCAUGACCGGACAUGCGGAAUCAUUGAGAACAGACGGGAGAACUCCCCACACGCAUUUACAUAGAAGUUUAAGGCGGUUGGAAUGAGCGCUUAAGCAUAACAAACUUUCAGGGCACUAACCUUUGGACGUAUAAUUGGAGCAAAUUUGUCAGUUUGAAGGUCACUAACUGGAUUUCAGAAAGCAUUUAAGUGCAUGUAGCGAAGCCUUUACGCAUGAAUGACUCUACGCUAGAUAUGAUUUGAAUUUAAGCUAAUCUAAAAAAUAUAAAAGAAAUAAUGGAUGGCCCAAAAUUAGAAUUGAGAUGGAAGUGUAAGCUUAACCUAAGGUAGGUAAAGUACAACUCUUUUACCAUAUUUUACCGACAGAUUAAUAGCGUCAGUUGGGAGAAAAUAAAACAAUUAUUACUGAAAGACUGUUAUCAGAGCGCACUUACGUUGAUCACCAGGCCCAAAAUUCAGAAUACUCAAUAAAAUUCAAUGUAUAUAUCUCGCACCAUAAUGAAAUAAAACCUUAAUAUGGGCGACGAAGAACUAUAUUCAACUGCUGAAAUCAGUGCGUUCAAAGGCUGCAAUCGUUUAAAGCUGCCGGUUCCGAUAAGAGCCUUACCAUCCUGUUGGCACAAAUACUUUCUUUCGUGUGAAUUGUUGCAUUAUUUUUGCGAACACACCGCGGUGAUAAGAGGUCUAGGCAAAUUUUAUACCGGAACCUGAUAGUAAAGACCGUUGCUUACUGACAUCCUAUACACUCAUUACAUUAAUAUUCUUUCCGUUGAAAAAGAUGGAAAGAAUCUGUGACGAUUAGAUCUAGCCACAAAUUCUUUGAGUGGCACUGCUGUAAAAAGAAUCCACACAAGCACGCAAAUGUUUAUGCACGAUUUAUGUUUCUUUCCAAAUCAUAAACCUUUUAGUCGAUAUGCGGAGUGCAACUUUUAUGCCGCACGCUCUUGUGGGCAACUACAAUAAAACUGAUAUGACUUAAGUCAAAGUAUAUACAUAAAUUAAGGUUUUAUUAACAUUCCAUUCCCGUUUUUCCUGUUUUAGGAAAGAAUGACAUGUUGCAGUCAAACAUGAGUUUCACCGUUUAACAUUGCUGGAGGUUUGGACCCACAAUAGACGCGAUGAUUCUGCCGUAACGAAUUGGGUUGUGGAAACAAUGAAUAUAAAUGAGGUCAUCAACUCACAAUUUUUGCAAACUGAUGGAAAAGGAGUUCGGAGUUUUAUAACCAAGAUCCAGAAAUAUUUGCUUAAUGCAACCGUAUGAUGUCAAGAUUUAAAGUUAAUCACUUAAGAUGUGUUUCGGAGGCGAUUAUUAUAACCUUAUGAAGAUAAAGAGCUUACUGAUCCAUCUACGUCUAAAUUACGUUGAGCAAAAUUAAAUCAUUCACUUGCUGGAAUGCGCUUAAAGUAUAAAUUAGCAAGUAAUUUUGCAUCAAACAUAGACUUUUCAACGCAGCAUUUUCUAUAUGCUACUUCUGUUUCUGUGAAGAAUGCGAAAGAUGAUUUGGUUAUUGCGUUGAAAGUCGUCAGGGAUGAACAAACUGGGAUAUAAAAUCUGAGAUGAUUAUCCCCUUUACUCCUGGAGACGCAUUGGCAUAUUUGUUGGAAAAUGGGCUUACCAUAUUCAGCACUUCAAGUCGCCAAAACUCUUUGCUGCCCAAUUCAAACAGAAAUUUCGGAAUAUUUUUCGCAGGUUCCAAUGCAAAACCUUUUACGCCAUAAAGCCGAAACAAAAAUGAUGUUCACGUUGCAUGUUGGAAGUAAGCCACGGUUUCGUUAGAUCUAAUGGUCAAAGCUUAUAUAAGCAGACGUUUCAAUCAGAAGAACGUGUUUUCCUGGAUUUAUCCUUUUUCCGCACCAUGAUCACUUUGAACUUAAUAGAUGCAAAUCAUCCAGUUAUUUAGCAUAACAAUGCUCCACAAUUUGUGAGGUUCUGCAGGCCACUUAAAAUUGAGUAUGCAAACGAAAGCCGUCAGAAAAUAAUAAGAAAGAAAUAAAUAUUAGUUAGAUUUCAUAUAUACAAAAUGGGGCAAAACAAUUGUUAUUGCCUAUAAACCACAGAACACUUAUUGAUCUAAAAGUACUUAACGUUUUACGCGCACAUACGGGCACUGUAUGUCCAAUAUUUUGGAUGAAACCAAAAAAUCUCCCCGAAACCACUGAUUUUGACUCCGAAUGUUUUAAGCCAACACCUGUGACUAAAAAAUAGUGUCAGUUCAUUCUCAUAUUCUUUAGUAUUGAAGUUCUAAAGUAGCAUAUUACCCAGGUUAAUACAAACAAACUGAUUACUCGGAAAUAAAAAUUAGGGUUGGAUGUAAGCAUUCCCAAACAAAGAGCAUUCGCUAAUUAACAGUUAUUUUAAACAAUUACUAGAUUUGAUCAAAAUAUUUUAUACAAUUUGUAUUAAUUUUUUUUCACUAUUUCAUGUGUGCAUUCUAUUGAUGUUGAUAAAUUCAAUGCAUUUUGUAAGGAAAUAUUUUUAUUAUAUGUUAAUACUUAUCCCUGGUAUAUAGGUCACCGACGGUACGUAAAAUAUUAGAACAUAACUGGUAAAUAAUAAACUCGUCUUUGGUUCCGGUUGAAUGUUUGGAGAAAAUGAUUCAGAACUAUGGAAUAAGUACUAUAAAAACGAUAGGAGAUCACAUGCCCAGAAAAAUUGCCGCUUAAACAAUAUGGCCUAUUUUUUCAUAGUACUUUGGAUUCUUCUGAUUCAUUAAUAUCAAGUAUUUGUUUCAGUGAAAGGUAAACAAAAUUAAAGAAAAACUCAUGCCGGCAGAUGUAAUAAAUCUUUUAAAAUGCCCACCUCUACUAAACUAUAAAACAUCAUAUCAUUGUUCGGAGUUCAAUGAUAUAGAGGUUUGUUCAAAGACCGACAAAUGGCUGCCGGAGAGCUUCAAACUUUCAGCAGACAAUAAAUACGCAAAUAAACGUAUCCUAGUGUACAAAUAAGUUAAGAUGCUGCUCACCAAGCAGCCAAGCCGACUUUGCCAGCGCGACUAACACGUAGAAGCUCCAAUCUCAGCGAGCAAAUGAGUCAACAAGGACAUAUACAAUUAUUACAUACGAGACAUGAUGGCAGAUCUCUCCUUCUAACUGCCAUGGUCGCAGUUGAAUACCAAGGAGAAUUGUUCCAACUCAGAGCAUUAAUUGACCAAGGCUCACAAAUGAUUUUCAUUUACCCUAAAGUUCUGAAAAGGUUGAGACUUACAUUCGAGUUUCUUAAGUUCAAAAUUUCCGGAAAGAGUGAACACAUCGUCCAAAACUCAUUUCUUGACUCUGGUAUCAUCCAAAACAAGCAACUGAUCAAUGCAACUAUUUUCAAGGACCCAAUGCCAAUGAGCUGGUAUAUCAAACGGACAUGGUAAUAGGCAGUGAAAUGCUUCCACAAAUUCUCGUGGAAGGUGUACACAAAAUUUACAACACAGCUCUAUCACAAAAUUCAAUAUUCUGUUGGAUCCUUAACGAGCCAGUAACCGAAAAAGUAGUGUCCUUCUCAACAUAUUUAGAAGAAGUUUCAAAUGAGAUAAGUGGUCAGUUAAGGCAAUUUCGGGAAGAGGAAGAUGUUCCUCCGAUUCCACAAUUUUUUUUUUUGAGGAUCAAGCUUGCGAAAGCAUAUACAGGCAAAACACGACUCGUGCUCCAAACGGUCGGUACGUUGUGCGGCUUCCAUUCAGGUAAGACUUCCUCGGAAAACUCCCUUUAGGCCACUCCCAGUCUGCAGCGUUUCAAAAAUUUGUCAGUAUGGAGCACACGCUGAAAAAAGAGAUUUUAAUGCAAUGGAGUUUACCCACCCUCGUGAAAUAAUCUCCAGUUCCAACUAACAGUAUUACUUCUUGCCACAUCAUACGAUUGUAAGACCAGAUAAAAUGAUCACCAAAGGUCGAGUGGUGUUUAACGACUCAAGAAAAUUGAGGUCAGACAACUCGUUUAAUGAUGUUUUGCAUACUGGUACUACCCUCCAACUAGCCUUCUUCCCGCUGGUUGCGGCUGUAACUUUGCCGUAUAUUAUUAACAAAUUUUUUUUAUAGGACUUUUAAUAUAUAAAUAUAGUUACAUGUGAUAUUAAUGAAAUUGAAUUGAAUCUAAUUUGGGUAAUGAUAUUACUUGUUCAUAUGAUUCUUUCAAACGCUUGCUUCAAAAUGAAAUUGGAGGCAAUUGGAUACAGUUUUCAAAGAAAUUAACGCUCCUCUAAAAUAAGUAUCCAAGUUUCCGUAUUACUCAGCUUAUAUAAUGUUUAUAUACGUAGUUAUAGAAAAAUAAAUAUAUUGCAUUUUCGUCGCAUAUUAGGACAAAAACACUAACCUUCACCGGCUAUUCUCUUUAACACCACUUGCAUCGUAUGUAAGAUAUUCCAACACCCAUAUCUUCCGAAAGGUUUCCUUCAUUUGUUGAAGAAUCUGUCAUUGCUUACGUAAGCAAACGCCUUUAUUUACAUUUGGUGUUUGAACAUCAUUUGGGCCCUCCCCCCAUGGAAUGAUUAAGUUCGUUGUCUAACGGCAAAUAAGUUGAUGGCUGAUAAUUUACCAGCUUUUCAGCUCCCAUCAAAAGAGUUUAUAACGUUUUCACCUGUGGAACCUUCGCCUUUAGAGUGAAUGAAAGUACUCUAUUGACGCAACCUACCAUACGCUACCAUGCACCUCCAGCUAAAAGAUUACCAGGUGAAUUAAACAACCAUUCUACCCCAUGUCUGGCACCUUCAUCGAUAACUUUCCCUCUAAUAAUAUCCAAUCUUCUGUACUGCCUGUUAAUAAAAUUCCAAAUGAACCGUUCGUAUGGUUCAAUAUGCAAAUAAACAUCCUCAUCUUUUCUCUUGUCGGCGGCCAGCUGCUACAAUACACUGUCCGAAGAAUUACCAGUAUAACUGAAUACUCUAACAAAUGGAGUGCGUCGAUAUUUUGGAACCUGCCCCAUAUGUGGAGUGUUAGGUUUUGCAUUUUGGUUUUUACAUGUUCGACAAUUUAUUUCAGCUGAACGGCCAAGUUACGUACGUUAGUUAUCCAAAAUUUUCUUCUGAUAGCGCAAACGGUUUUGAUGCUUAUCAAUUUCAGGAUAAUGCCUUGCAAUAAGUUUGGAUAAUAAUUGUUUAUAUGACAGACCUUUUUUUUUUCUUGUCUAAAGGUACACAAUCAGAAUUUUCAAUACGUCCUGAGCAUCUCGAAGUACCAUAUUCAUCAAAUAUAGGCGACACACUAUUUCCCGGUAACUUUUCUUUGCCUGCUAACAUACUCAUAUUAUUUGCCUAAGUAUUCUCUUGAACAUAGCGACUGAGUAUUUUUUUUCAGCUUAAGCAAUGUCUUUUGCAGUCAAUUGCGACAAAGAAGUACCUUUAGUUCGUUGUUUUUGAACAGAUCUAAAUUUCAUUACCCAACAAAUAACUGUGAACAGCUUAAAAUAUUUCUAAAAUCUUUCAAAAUCUAUCAAAUUUCAUUGCGAAGACACACUUUGAGCGUCUUUCUAUAUCUACACUCUUUUCCGGAAUACCUUCAGAGGAGAAGGCCUGGCCAAAACAUCUCAGGUUCCUUCAAAAAAUCUGAAUCACGUAUCCAUCGUGACCUUAAAUCAAUGUGUGCAUUCAAUCGUGUCGAAUCAUCUGAUAGAUUUUGCUCACCAGAAAUCCAUCGCCACCGGUUGACAUUAGAAGAAUAUAAAAUUUCUGCGAUUCUGUGUGUGAUUCAAAUAUUUCGUAUUUGAGUUGAUUCAACUGAGAAAAGUUUUCGAGCCAGACCAAAACGUUAUCAGUUGGGGCUGUACAUCAUGACUUUUUAAAAUAAAUUUACAAUAUGGUAGCAAACAAUUCUGGACGUGGCACCGAAAGUACCUUAAUAGGAGUAAGCGACUGCAAAAUUUGAAAGUUCGGUAGCAUUCACAAAAAUAUGAAAGUCAAUCUUUGAGUCUGGGUUAUUAAAAUUAAACUUAUAGGAACGGGGGAUAAUGAGUAAGCUAGAAAGCCUUAUCAAGCUCGGCAUAGCAGUCGAAACCUUUGUGGCAAGUCUGCUUUGGAAUAGCACCACCAAUCUACGUUCAAAUGCCAUAGCUCUGUAAAAUAGUUUUUGAUUUUACUGUAACAUUUGACAAAUAAUCCAAGGGAUCAAAUCGUUAGACUUUGCACACCAGCUUUCGUCGGUAUUCGUUCUCCAGUCAAUACAUCAUUUUCUACUCUCUAAAAUUUAAUUAAAAACAAAAUGAGUCAUCUAAUGUUCGUCAGUAUAUUCCCAGUACCUUUUCUGUUAAAAAAUCUUUAGAGCAAAGGCUCUCGGUGUCAUUAGUGAGGGGCGCUGAUCCAUCUCCAAGCGCCUUACAAAGCUUCUUCGAGUUAAACUGACCCUCGCAACUUAAAGCCGGUAUAAUUAUUAUAUUUUUUAACCGUAUUCGAAAUAUUUAUAGCAUGUUUCACUGCAUUGAAGGUAUCAGCAUAAUCGUCCACCUAGUGGUAGUCCAUUAUACAUAGCUCUAGUGGCUUUAACCGCAUUCGAAAUAUUGAUAGCAUCUUUCACUGCAUUAAAGGUGUCAACAUAAUCGUUCACGUAGUGGUAGUCAAUUAUAUAUAGCUGUAGUGGCUCUGGAAUGAAUUUCGUAAAAGCUUAUGGUAUUUAUAUUUUUUACAAAUUACGCGGAACAUGGUGUGCAGGCUGGACCAAAUAUCAUUGCUUUCAUGUUAUACACGUCUGGCUCCUUUGUCGUAUAUCCAUCACGCCAGACAAAUCGUUGUGCAUCCUGACCUUCUUCGCGUAUCUCAAAUUGUGUAAACAUUUCGCGUAUAUCUGCAGAUACGCCAAUGAUACUCUAUCUAAUUUUAAAUAAUAUACUUAGUAACAAGUAUCUUCGGUAAGCACUGGGCCUUUCAUUAAACAUGAUCUGAAAGAUCCACUGUUUAUGGAUGCAGCAGCAUCAAAAACUAACGUAAUUUAUUUUCUUUAUAUGGAUUGCAAACGGCAAAGUGAGGUAUUUACUAUUAAUAAGGUUUUAACGACAAUGAUUCUGCCAUCAAAAACUUCUUGGCAUAUGACUUGUGUACUAUUAUACUCAUUAAUUUUGUCUUUAUACCACUUUUUAAAAUUAUUAUCUUUGGCAAUUUUAGCUUCACAGAAAUGAAUUUCAUCAGUUCGCGAUAACGAACCCGUUUCAUAGUGACAACCAAUAAGCUUAGUGGUCUCUGAUAAAACGGUUUCGGAUCUUUUGUCUACUUCAGAUACGACCGGCUCCAAAGGUUUCAUUCCAAAACUUUCUAAAGAAUAAUACUUGCCUCUGAAUGUCAUGAACUACAUCUUCUUCACAGCCUGUACGGCAAACAACUCCUUCGGGAGUGUCUUCAUUUGAUCCAAGCAACAAACAAUCGUCGAGAUUUAUAAUAAUAUAUGUACGGCAUACCGAUAAGGUUAGCGAAACAGCAUCAACAUAUUCGUCGAUUGGCAAGUUUUGUAACCUAACAUAUUUCGAUAUAAAAGUUUUGAGAUUCCACUUUUUACAAGUUUCCACAAAGCUCCUUUUACCUGACAUAGGCAUUUCCCUCAUAUUGCACCAACGCAACACCAACAUCAGCAUGUGUUUCUAAUAGCAAAGGUCUGAAAUGAGGAUCACCCAAUAUGAGGUACUAGUACGAUUCAUGUUAUUCUAUUCAUAAUUCAAAAAAUGUUUAUUUUUACAUUAAUAUUAUAAUUUAUUUAAAAUUCCUAUUUAAUUAUAUAUUUAGCUGUAGUGGCUGUAUAUCUGUGUAUGUAUAUGGAUGUAUAUACUAGCAGAACCAGCGAACUUCGCCUCAUCUUAAUAACAUGCCUUUAUAUUACAUGUAGAUGGCUCAAAUCUGAUUGCAAAUUAUUUGAAUGAAUUCGAAAAGCAGAAAGCAAUAUGGCAAGCAAACACGCGAACAUGCGCAGUUCACAUAAAAUUACUUGGAUUAAACUCAGCGGUUUCCGAUAAGAAGCAGUCCAUACGAAAAUAUGAAAAUUCAAGCAAAUAGAAAUACUUAUUUGUACAUACAUACACGCUUAGGCAAAUAAAUUCAUACUGACUAUUUUUAUGUAAAAUACAAGAAUAUAAUUUUCAUUCAUAAAUUUAUCGCACACUGCAUAAUGGUGCCUACAAAUCUCUUGACAAAAUUCAAAAAUACAAAAAUAUUACAUUCCCCUCUUCCUUCAAACCGUAAAUCUGCAGUAAAAUUCAUACGACUUCUACACACUAUUUAAAUUCUAGUAAAAUACAACAAUAACCUUUUCAUUCAUAAAUUUACCGCACACAUGCCCCUUCAUAACCGUGCCUAAAAGCUCUUGACAAAAUUCAAAAAAUCAAAAAACAAAAAUGGUCGCAAUACUUGAAGCAACAACAAAAUACAUUUGGCUGCCUCUUUCCUUUCAACCUGCAAAAAUCUCAUGGCAUCUACAAGCAUUGAUUCAAAUUCUAACUGACAAAAAUUCAAAUAUUCGAAUUUGUCUACUAAAAUGAAAAAAUCGGCAUUAUGUUGCUAAAUCUGACGUUCGCCUAUUACCUUAUAUUGGCCAGUAAGAAUUGCCUUACCUGCCCGCCAGCGCUUUGUCCUCAAGC